rnacentral:misc_RNA from 1 species
ACCGACGAAGGCGACUACCAGAUCAAGAUGCGCAACAUCCGCCGCUUCCUGGAAGAGGGCGACAAGGUCAAGGUCAACAUCCGUUUCCGCGGCCGCGAAAUGAGCCACCAGGAACUGGGUCGCGAAAUGGCCGCGCGCAUCGAGGCCGAGCUGGGCGACGAGAUCGUCAUCGAGUCGCGCCCGCGCCUGGAAGGCCGCCAGAUGGUCAUGAUGAUCGCCCCCAAAAAGAAAUGAUGUCAGCGGCCGCAGGCCGCUGACGCCAACCGUUCCCCUCUCCCGUUUGCGGGAGAGGGCAAAGGGUGAGGGGGCGCCGCAAGGCGCUCU